rfam:Gossypium raimondii Chr12_contig_800, whole genome shotgun sequence.
UGUUAAAAAUUUUCAUCCAUUUCUACUUUAAAAAUUGGUGUGCUUGACCGAAUAACCAGACUGUUACACAUGACUUGUCAAGUGCUCCUCGUUUUGAUGUAGAGAGACCAGUUUUUGACAGUAGAAAUGGAUGAUAUUUUUAACA